rnacentral:rRNA from 1 species
CGGUGGAGUAUGUGGUUUAAUUCGAUGCAACGCGAAGAACUUACCUGGUCUUGACAUCCCGGAGACCCUUAGGAAACUAGGGGGUGCUUCCAUCUGGAAGAAUCUGGAGACAGGUGCUGCAUGGCUGUCGUCAGCUCGUGUCGUGAGAUGUUGGGUUAAGUCCCGCAACGAGCGCAACCCUUGCCUUUAGUUGCCAGCAGUUCGGCUGGGCACUCUAAAGGGACUGCCGGUGUUAAACCGGAGGAAGGUGGGGAUGACGUCAAGUCCUCAUGGCCUUUAUGACCAGGGCUACACACGUACUACAAUGGCCGAUACAAAGGGCAGCGACACUGCGAGGUGAAGCCAAUCCCGUAAAAUCGGUCUCAGUCCGGAUUGGAGUCUGCAACUCGACUCCAUGAAGUUGGAAUCGCUAGUAAUCGUGGAUCAGCAUGCCACGGUGAAUACGUUCCCGGGCCUU